GAUUGAACGCUGGCGGCAGGCCUAACACAUGCAAGUCGAGCGGUAACAGGUCCAGCUUGCUGGACGCUGACGAGCGGCGGACGGGUGAGUAAUGCAUAGGAAUCUACCCAGUCGUGGGGGAUAACCUGGGGAAACCCAGGCUAAUACCGCAUACGUCCUACGGGAGAAAGCGGGGGCUCUUCGGACCUCGCGCGAUUGGAUGAGCCUAUGUCGGAUUAGCUGGUUGGUGGGGUAACGGCUCACCAAGGCGACGAUCCGUAGCUGGUCUGAGAGGAUGAUCAGCCACACUGGGACUGAGACACGGCCCAGACUCCUACGGGAGGCAGCAGUGGGGAAUAUUGGACAAUGGGCGAAAGCCUGAUCCAGCCAUGCCGCGUGUGUGAAGAAGGCUUUCGGGUUGUAAAGCACUUUCAGUGGGGAAGAAGGCUUGUCGGCCAAUACCCGGCAAGAGCGACAUCACCCACAGAAGAAGCACCGGCUAACUCCGU
rnacentral:rRNA from 1 species